GGUAGCCUACGGGGGGCAGCAGUGAGGAAUAUUGGUCAAUGGUCGGGAGACUGAACCAGCCACGCCGCGUGAGGGAUGAAGGUACAGAGUAUCGUAAACCUCUUUUGUCAGGGAACAAAGGCGGGGACGUGUCCCCGGAUGAGUGUACCUGAAGAAAAAGCAUCGGCUAACUCCGUGCCAGCAGCCGCGGUAAUACGGAGGAUGUGAGCGUUAUCCGGGUUUAUUGGGUUUAAAGGGU
rnacentral:rRNA from 1 species